rnacentral:rRNA from 1 species
UACGUAGGGGGCGAGCGUUGUCCGGAUUUAUUGGGCGUAAAGAGCGUGUAGGCGGCCAGGUAGGUCUGCUGUGAAAACUCGAGGCUCAACCUCGAGACGUCGGCGGAAACCAUCUGGCUAGAGUCCGGAAGAGGAGAGUGGAAGUUCCUGGUGUAGCGGUGAAAUGCGCAGAGUAUCGGGAAGAACACCCGUGGCGAAGGCGGUUCUCUGGGACGGUACUGACGCUGAGACGCGAAAGCGUGGGGAGCGAACAGG